UACGGAGGUGGCAAGCGUUGUUCGGAAUCACUGGGCGUAAAGGGCGCGUAGGCGGGGACGGAAGUCGGGUGUGAAAGCCCCGGGCUCAACCCGGGAAUGGCGCUCGAGACUCUGGCUCUUGAGUCUCGGAGAGGCGGGCGGAAUUCCUGGUGUAGCGGUGAAAUGUGUAGAGAUCAGGAGGAACACCGGUGGCGCAGGCGGCCCGCUGGACGGAGACUGACGCUGAGGCGCGAAAGCGUGGGGAGCAAACAGG
rnacentral:rRNA from 1 species